rnacentral:misc_RNA from 1 species
GAUGAAGAACGUAGCAAAAUGCGAUACUUGGUGUGAAUUGCAGAAUCCCGUGAACCAUCGAGUUUUUGAACGCAAGUUGCGCCCGAAGCCAUUCGGCUGAGGGCACGUCUGCCUGGGCGUCACAUAUCGUUGCCCAAUGCCUAUUGCAGUGCAAUAGGAAUUUCUAGGGCGAAUGAUGGCUUCCCGUGAGCGUUGUUGCCUCGCGGUUGGUUGAAAAUCGAGUCCUUGGUAGGGUGUGCCAUGGUAGAUGGUGGUCGAGUUAGAACGAUACCGAUCAUGUGCAUGCUCCCCAAAAUAUGGCCUCUAUGACCCACACGCGUCUUUUGACGCUCAUGACGAGACCUCAGGUCAGGCGGGGCUACCCGCUGAAUUUAAGCAUAUCAAUAAGCGGAGGA